rnacentral:rRNA from 1 species
AUUGAACGCUGGCGGCAGGCCUAACACAUGCAAGUCGAACGAUUGGCGGACGGGUGAGUAAUGUCUGGGAAACUGCCUGAUGGAGGGGGUUAACUACUGGAAACGGUAGCUAAUACCGCAUACCAUCGGAUGUGCCCAGAUGGGAUUAGCUAGUAGGUGGGGUAAAGGCUCCCCUAGGCGACGAUCACUAGCUGGUCUGAGAGGAUGACCGGCCACACGGGAACUAGGACACGGUCAAGACUCCUAGGGGAGGCAGAAGUGGGGAAUAUUGCACAAUGGGCGCAAGCCGGAUGCAGCCAUGCCGCGUGUAUGAAGAAGGCCUUCGGGUGGUAAAGUACUUUCAGAGGGGAGGCGUUACCCGCAGAAGAAGCACCGGCUAACUCCGUGCCAGCAGCCGCGGUAAUAC